rnacentral:rRNA from 1 species
UUUUAGAGUUUGAUUCCUGGCUCAGAUUGAACGCUGGCGGCAGGCCUAACACAUGCAAGUCGAGCGGAAACGAGUUAUCUGAACCUUCGGGGAACGAUAACGGCGUCGAGCGGCGGACGGGUGAGUAAUGCCUAGGAAAUUGCCCUGAUGUGGGGGAUAACCAUUGGAAACGAUGGCUAAUACCGCAUGAUGCCUACGGGCCAAAGAGGGGGACCUUCGGGCCUCUCGCGUCAGGAUAUGCCUAGGUGGGAUUAGCUAGUUGGUGAGGUAAGGGCUCACCAAGGCGACGAUCCCUAGCUGGUCUGAGAGGAUGAUCAGCCACACUGGAACUGAGACACGGUCCAGACUCCUACGGGAGGCAGCAGUGGGGAAUAUUGCACAAUGGGCGCAAGCCUGAUGCAGCCAUGCCGCGUGUAUGAAGAAGGCCUUCGGGUUGUAAAGUACUUUCAGUCGUGAGGAAGGCGGCGUCGUUAAUAGCGGCGUCGUUGACGUAGCGACAGAAGAGCACCG